CAGAGAGUUCACACCAAGAUGAGAAUCAGACACCUGCGGAGGUAGGAGAAGGAGUGAAGGGAGCAGAGGAGGACUUGGCCUGGGUCAGCAGACUUGAGAUGCUAGAGAAGUUGUAGGGAGGAGGUGGUGGGGAUGCAAGAGGAGGUGAAGUACAGGAGGAGGUGAGGAGGUACAGGAGGAGGUGAGAGAGUACAGGAGGAGAUGGGGGUAUAGGAGGAGGUGGGGGAGCAGGAGGAGGUGAGGGGGUACAGGAGGUGAGGGGUGCAGGAGGAGGUAAGGGGGUACAGGAGAUGAGGGGGUACAGGAGGAGAUGGGAGUGCAGGAGGAGGUGAGGGGGUACAGGAAGAGGUGAGGGGGGUACAGGAGGAGAUGGGAGUGCAGGAGGAGGUGAGGGGGUACAGGAGGAGGUGAGGGGGGUACAGGAGGAGGUGAGGGGGUACAGGAGGAGGUGAGGGGGUACAGGAGGAGGUGAGGGGGUACAGGAGGUGAGGGGGUGCACAAGGAGGUGAGGGGGUACAGGAGGAGAUGGGAGUGCAAGAGGAGGUGAGGGGGUACAGGAGGAGGUGGGGGGGUACAGGAGGAGGUGAGGGGGUACAGGAGGUGAGGGGGUACACAAGGAGGUGAGGGGGUACAGGAGGAGGUGAGGGGGUACAGGAGGUAGUGAGGGGGUACAGGAGGUAGUGAGGGGGUACAGGAGGUGGUGAGGGGGUACAGGAGGUGGUGAGGGGGUACAGGAGGAGAUGAGGGGUACAGGAGGAAUUGAGGGGGUACAGGAGUAAGUGAAGGGGUCACAGAAGGUGAGGGGGUGCAGAAGGUGAGACGGAGUCUCCCUCUGUCGCCCAGG
rnacentral:lncRNA from 1 species